CCUACGGGCGGCAGCAGUGGGGGAUAUUGCACAAUGGGGGGAACCCUGAUGCAGCGACGCCGCGUGGGUGAAGAAGCGCUUCGGCGCGUAAAGCCCUGUCAGCAGGGAAGAAAAUGACGGUACCUGAAGAAGAAGCCCCGGCUAAGUACGUGCCAGCAGCCGCGGGAAUACGUAGGGGGCAAGCGUUAUCCGGAUUUACGGGGUGUAAAGGGGGCGCAGACGGCGAUGCAAGCCAGGAGUGAAAGCCCGGGGCCCAACCCCGGGACUGCUCUUGGAACUGCGUGGCUGGAGUGCAGGAGGGGCAGGCGGAAUUCCUGGUGUAGCGGUGAAAUGCGUAGAUAUCAGGAGGAACACCGGUGGCGAAGGCGGCCUGCUGGACUGCAACUGACGUUGAGGCCCGAAAGCGUGGGGAGCAAACAGGAUUAGAUACCCUUGUAGUC
rnacentral:rRNA from 1 species